GCAGCAGCCGGCGCGGUGUGGCGGGCAGCGGCCGCCGGAGUGCGGCCGGGUUGGGCCGUGGGGCUGCCAUGCUGCUUCAGCUGGCGGCCGAGUUUGACCUGCAGAGGGAUGUGGUGCCCUGGCUGGCGGCGCGGGGCUGGGCCGUGGCUCUAGAUACUUCUGAGAAAUCAUCAGCACUUUACAUUGUAAAUGUUGAAAGAAAUGGAAAAAUUAUUUACACCUGGAAGGGAAAUCAGAGAAGUACCCAUAUUGGAUUGUAUGACCUUCAAAUGAAAGAAAAUGAGCAUCUCUAUACGUUUGAGAAAGAUCUACGCAUAAUCAGUUGUUCAAUCAACAGUGAAAGGACGUUAUUGGCUGUCAGCUUCCGCCAGUAUACAGAGGAAGAAAGAGUGACUCACCUGUUACAGUCAGUGUCCAAGUAUUUAGCCUUGCUAAUUGAAAUUCAUCCCAUUAAUAAUGUGAAAGUCCUAAAGGCUGUGGAUAGCUGUGUUCGAGUGCAGUUUCUUUAUCCAGUGGAAGACAGAAAUAGUUCUACAGAAAGUCAUCUUUUGCUCGUUUCAGAAGAUAAAUACAUCGAACAAUUCGAUAUUCACGUUGCAGAAGAGGAACACAGAGUGGUGAUUCAGAACUCAGGUCAGCUUCCAAGAGCCAGAGUUGCAGAUGAUCUCAUUUGGGCACAGUGGGAUAUGACAGAACAAAGACUCUUCUACAUUGUUCCAAAGGAAUCAAGGAGUAUUUUAAGAUGUGUCCAGUUCUACCCUGAUGAAAAUUUUAACUCAACACUGGAAUCACAGCUGGAUAUUUCUGUAAAUGACAAACAAGUAAAACUUGUGAAUUUUGGAUACAAUGACUGUGAAGACCGAGAUGUUCCAUCCAAGUCUUUGAAUCUUCAGGUUUUUACAAGUAAAGCAGGAGGACUGUGUGUGUGUUGUAGUCUUCCUUCGGAUAUUCCUGGGGAAAUAUCAUACUCCAUAUAUUUUUUACAUAAAGGGUUUAGCAAAACUUUUACAGCUUCUCUAGAAAGACCAGAAACUCCUCAAUUGAAGGAAGUGGCCUUUUUGAAUCUUGACUAUUAUGUGGCUGCUUAUUUGCCUGGACAGUUCCUGCACCUCCUAAAUAUUCACCAUCCUGACCUGCUGUGCUACAGUUUAUUUCUGACAGGUGAGGAUGCAAGAAUUGACAUGUUGCCAAACUGCUCCAUCCAGUCCCCACUCGUUUCAACAGUCUUGGAUUGCUGCAUAGGAAGACUGUAUGCAAUGAGCAUCAGUGACAGUGCCUUACUGAAGUUCCUACAGAACAGCAAACGAGACAGUGAGAGGUUGGCAGCUCUACAUUGUGCUCUUCUGUGUGUCAGAAGUACAACAGACUUGGAAAUGAAGAUUAUUUGGUGGAUUUCUGAGAACCUAUCAACGUGUCAUUCCUUUGAUCCUAUUCAGGAAUUUAUCAUUGCCUCUCUGUACUGCAGAAUGUGUCCAGAAACCAACAACCUGGAUAAACUCUUGCCCUACACAUCACUGCUUGACUGGACUGGGGUUAUCCCUGGAGUAGCAUGUGCAACAGACAUUAUUUCUCUACCUGUGUUAGAGAUGCAAAACUCUAAAGGCUUCUGGGAGAAACUCGACUCAAACUUGGAGAGUGUGAAGUAUGCAGAGCCACACUUGCAUUACCACAAUAAUGUGCUCAGGAGGGAAUGGCGUAAUCUCUCAGAAGAGACAGAAGAGAGAAGAGCCACAGCAUAUUUAAGGAAUAUAUUUGAAAACGCCAAAAAGGUGCUUUCUCAUCUGGAUGCUUGGGACUCUGAGGAAAGGCUCGUACCUCUCUUUCAAGAGGAAGACUAUCAGCAGCAAUUACUAAUGGGACUGAUGGUUGCUCAGCUAAAGGAUCAUCUUAUGAGACAUCUGCAGUAUGUAGGAAAAAAGAAGAUUGACCAAAUAGUGCUGGAUUAUGUUGCAAACCUGCUGAAUCUGGUACAUCGAAUAAUGAAAGAAGUUUGGAAGAUACAUCAGCUGCAUUCCUGCAUCUUCUGCUUUGAUGAGAGAGGAAGUGAAGCAGAGUUCAGAGUGUUUCACAUCAUGAGUCGAAUUCUGGAAGCUGCAAAUGGCAUGUGUAUGCCUUUACCUCCUGGUUUUCACUCUCUACACUUGGGGCUUGGUGUUCGAUGUCUCCCCCUUCAUACUCUCCUGCACUAUAUUGACAAUGGGGUUCUACAUCUGACAGAAACCUGUGUCAGGAAACUGCUGAAAGAUCUGGAUGACAAUGAGAAGAAUGAAAAGCUGAAAUUCAGUAUUGUGACAAGGCUUCCCGAGGUGACUUUGGAUGCUCUUGGUUUAAAGGCCCGUCAGUUCUGGGAUCAUCCAGUAAAUGCUAAUUUCCGUGCACGGAAGUAUGUGAAACUUUUGCUUGAGAAGCUGGGGAAUAGGCAGUGUAGCAGGCCUGUCCCUGAGAGACACCCAGUCUGUGUAGAAUUUUUGCCUCUUAACUACCUGACUAAUGUGCUGGCAGAGAUAGAGAGUCAAGGUGUGCAUCUGUAUGAAAAACAAGAUCACAUUAAUGUCAGGUUUGUGGAGGAAGCAGCACUGAAACACACGAUGAUGCUCUUGGGCCUCAGAUAUUCCUGAAACUUCUUUCUUCAACUGCAUGUAAACUGUGGUACUCAAAAUCACUCAUAUGGAAGAGGAGGAAGGCCUUGAUCUAUCCUUGAUGAAACAAUCAUCAAAAACUCUUCUCUGUCUCUCAUUUCCUGCUGGAGUUUAAUGGCAAGUGCUUGCUUCAUGGACAACUCUGCAACAAGAGCCAUCAUCUUCUGGGUCCUGUCUUUUAUCUUCUUCUGUAGUUCAUUUAUCUGCAAUCAGAAACCAAGUACAUUUUGGAUAUUUAGUAACAACUACAUCUGCAGGCACUUACUGGAUGUGGUGCUCAGGUAAGUGUAAGUAAGGUUGGUGAAAUCAACUGUGUUUCAAAAAACAACUCUUUUCUUGAAAGUAAGGAAACAGUGUCUGUUUCCUGGGUAUACUUGGAACCCUGCCAGCAGGCAGUAUUAAAAAGUCACAUUUACUCCAAUGCAAGGUUAGAAAAUAUCAACUUUGUAAUGCUAUCCUGCCCCUUACAGAUGACUCACAAGACUUCCAUUUACCUCCAAGGAAGGUAUUAAGCCUGGAUUCUGAUUGAGGCUGUGCACAAUUACUGCAUUAUUAACAAGUGUGUUAAGUCCAGUCCUCACAGGGCAGUUCAGUGAUAACGUGGACACGGCUGUUUUGUGAGGUGUUGAGUUAUCCUUAGCAGGGAGAUGGACAGAAAGGGAACGGGGUGGGAAUCUGAUUCUGACUGGAGAGAAGUUUAAAAAUCAAGAUUAUAUAUAUACACUAAAAAAAAGCAUAAAAGAGCUCAAAUGCUGCUUUUGAAGUAACUAAUAGAGAAUUGGGGGAGUCAGAGCACGUAACUUCUGGCACAGUGCCAUUGGUACACUAAUUUAUUAGCCAGUGGCUGUAAUCUCACACAGGCAAAUGGCAGCCAUGUUAUUUCUUUCUGUAGAAAAUGAAAGAUUUCCUCCAGGGAUGUGUUCUGAUUUUAAGCCUGAGUGCCAGAGUUAAUAACAAAGAAAAGCAAGUCAGCCCUGGCCUUGUUGUACAUUAAUUACAUCACUGUGGUGUUUGUUUUUUCUCUCUCUCUCUCUCUCUCUCUCUCUCUCUCUGGGUUUGGAUCUAUUUGAAGCUUUUUCCAUCAAGGAGGUGGAGGUGGGAAGAUUUCUGUUUUUGGCUGCUACUGUGUUUGUUGUUCUUUGGCCAAUGCCACUGACUUCCUGUCUCUGUCCUUCUUUCUUUUGCUUUCUCAGUUUUCUCUCUGUUAUUAUACACUUUCCAAGUAGCCUCAAGUAAUUUACUUAAGGAUCAGGCCUCCUCUCCUUCCAUUUUUUGCAGUUUUUGUUUAAUGUCUGGAUUAGCUUGCUUGAUGAAAGUACAGGCCAACUGCAGAGCUCCCCUUCCUUCUUUGGGUCUCAUGUCUGGAAGCACUGGACCUGAGAAAUAACUUAGUGCAUGUUUUGGUGAGAGACCAAUUGAUGCUGCAAUUUUCUUUCAAAAAGAAAGUCCAUUCCUAAUGCUCUUGCUGUGCCUAUAUUACUGUGAUUACUAAAUGUCUGUCAUUUCUUAAGAUUAACGUACAGUUUGCCUGUCACUAAUUCCAGCUGCUAGUUUAGUAAUUUGCAAGCAGGUCAUCUCACCUACUGCCCAGAUAGAAUUUGGUUUCCUAUGGGCCAGUGGGCAGAGCAUGCCCUCCUUACCCUUGUUGCUAGCAGCAGUGUGCCCUGCUUCCCAUUCUCUGCUGUGGCACGGAUCCUGUCUGUGAGCCGGGCAAUGUGUUGGUAGAUGAUGUCUGUCUCCAGCAGCUUCUCCUCCUUCUGUACCAGCUCCACCUCCAGCUGCAGUGGGAGGAAUAUAUGCACAGCACAGGUAAAUGCUGGGGGAAAGUGCAACGGAAGGUGUUCCUGUGGCUGCUUGGAGACACCUUCAGAGCUAAUGUAAUUAAGCAGCAAUGUUUUUCACCGGCAGUUUUCCCAAAUUACACCAGCAUUACUACUGCUUUGCCAUGAUUUGAGUGAAAGCCAUGAUUUUUUUUUUUCCUAGUGAUUUUUUUGUUUUGUUUUUAAAUUUCUGGUUCUUUGAGUUACAGCAUUAAAAGUUUCAGCUCUUGCUUGAAGUAAUCUCCCCCUGACACCUUGCUGUUAAAUGUGAGCACCAAACACGAAGUACUGUGCAACUGAAGGGACUUUAAAACAUAAGGAGAGAUUGAAUGGGAACAUUAAAUCUACGUCACACAUACACAAAAGCCAGUUUUGUAAUGUUGGUGAGGUUGGUACAGGUGGGCUGUGACCCAGCUGGCCUGGGUGCCUUUGGGUACUGACCUCUCCUGGGGCUCUGUUUGGAGCAGAAACAAAGCAGAAAAGCCAAUCCCUGCAGAGUUUGCUGGUUUAUGUCACGUGUGCAGGUUUUGUGUUGAGAGGACGGUGGGCCUGCCUUUGGCUCACAUACAUCAGUGGUUUAUUAUUUUGCACACCAUUUGCUUUUUCUAAAAGAACUCAAUGCACGGUGUUAGGGCUGUGCAGUGAGACCUGACGCUACCUGUUCGAUCUUCUUCUGCAGUUCAGGUGCAGAUGGGUCUUUCCCUCCCAGGUCUCGCUUUCUGCUCUCAUUUGUGGGGUCCACAAAGAUUUCCUCCAUCUCUUUAAUCCUGUCCUUGCACUGGGAAUACUGGUAAACAAAAACACGCAAGGGUUACUUUUCUGACCAGAAGCAAAAAGCCCCAUUGCUGCAGUGCUGAGGGAGGGAAGGUCUCUGUGUGCCUGGUGUGCUGUGCCUCAGCAGUCAGGGUGUUCAGGUGCACAGCUCAUGGCCAUGCUGCACUGCCCAAGCUCAGAAGCAGGACUGCAGCCUCGUUGGGAGUGCCUGGGGUGCUGUGGCAGCGCAGGCCUGUGUCAGUCUGUGCUGGUCCAACACUCAGAACAUUUCCCUACACCGCCAGAGGUGGCAUUGUCCUGUCAUAUUGGUAGUGAAUGUGAGAGCUUGUGCCACAGAAGGGUUCUUUCAGGGGAGUGGUUUUAAAAGAAAAGAUGGGAAAUUCAGGUUAGAUGCUGGGAAGAAGUUAUUUACUCAGAGGGUGCUGAGGUGCUGCCCAGAGGAGCUGUGGGUGCCCCAUCCCUGGAGGUGCCGGGUUGGACGGGCCCGGGGCAGCCUGAGCUGGGGGGGCAGCCUGCCCAUGGCAGGGGUUGGGACUGGUGGGCUUUGAGGUCCUUUCCAACCCAAACCAUUCUGUGAUUCUAUGAAGGCUUUUUUCUAAGACAUAGAUAAAAUUUCCACUCAUUAAUGAUUUCUUGAGCUCUUGUUCCCUUGACUGUGUGUGCAACACAGCGACCUGUGUAUCAGUACAGCAGUCAUGCCAGCCAGGGUUUUUCUCUUAACCACCAGCUAUCCUGGCAAGAGCCUGGACUGGAAAAUGUUUUUUACUUUCUAAAUACAUUUGGAAAGUUAAGGAAAAAGCAGCAGUCCUGGGGGGAGAUGGUCAGCUUCGGCCAUGCUGUCAGGAUGGGAAGCUGGGGCUGGUUUGGGCGAGGGCUGCCCUCCAUCACCGCUGUCAGUGAGCGGCGGGGCCUAUCUGUGUGCAGAUGGAUGUAGCUCUGGGCAGAGGAGAGUGGAAACCCCCAGGGAAGGGAGUGAGCCCUGAGGGCCAGGCUGGAUGGGGUUCAGCUGCCCAGCCUAGUGCAUGGUGUCUGCACCUGCGAGGGUGGUUGUGAGGUGGGCCCAGGCCAGUCACUGCUGGCAAUGAAAUGCUGAGUGUGUUUUGUACCCAGGGGCAUCCAGGUUUUCUCUGCUGCUGUUCUGAGCGUGUCCUGCAGCAACUCGGCUGUGGGGCACUGCAGGGACUGUGAGUGCCGAUUCUGCAGUACUGUGUUCAGGCCUGGGGCCCCCAGCACAGGAAGGAUGUGGAGCUCUUGGAGCAGCUCCAGAGGAGGGCCACUGAGAUGAUCAGAGGGCUGGAGCAUCUCUCCUAUAAGGAAAGGUUGAGGGAACUGGGCUUGUUUAGCUUGGAGAAGGGAAGGCUCUGGGGAGGCCUCAUUGUGGCCUUCCAGUACUUGAAGGGAGCAUAUAAACAGGAGGGGGAAUGGCUGUUUACGAGGGUGGAUAGUGAUAGGACAAGGGGGAAUGGUCUUAAACUGAUACAGGAGAGGUUUAGGCUGGAUAUUAGGAAGAAGUUUUUCACCCAGAGGGUGGUGACACACUGGAACAGGUUGCCCAAGGAGGCUGUGGAUGCCCCAUCCCUGGAAGCAUUCAAGGCCAGGCUGGAUGUGGCUCUGGGCAGCCUGGUCUGGUGGUUGGUGACCCUGCACAUAGCAGGGGGGUUGAAACUCGAUGAUCAUUGUGGUCCUUUUCAACCCAGGCCGUUCUAUGAUUCCCAGAAUACACAGAUGGAACUCCAUGUGCCUCUCCAUUGCUUGCUGAAGGAAUGACUGGGAACGUUUCCUCAUGUCUGGACUCAUGGGGCAGGCCAUGGUUGCUGUGUGUCCAAUGUGCACCUGUCUGUCUGUCAGCACACCGUCACACCCGCAUCUGUUGGAACACAAGUGUGGUGACUUCCCUGUUAGUGCUAACCUGCAGCCAGGGGUGGUGACAUUGUCAAGGAAAUGGCGCUCACAGCUCUGGGAAGAGUCACCACAAAAACACGUGAAUGUUUCACUGUCGCUAUAGGGAUAGGGUUUAUGCAGUGGAAGAGAACGGUUUCUGUUCAACUGCCAAUGGGAAAACUGACAGGUAUUCGCAUGUGAUAAUGGAACAUCAGCACAGUACUUGCUCUAAGUAGCUCUUUUCUGGGAAAAAGGCUCGUGCAGAUCUUUCCUUUACACUUUGUCUAAGAACAGACAGAGUAGAAGCCCUCAAUAUCUGCGUUGAGCAGCUUCCUUGUCAAACUCUGGUUUGAUAUAAAAUGCACGCCCUUCCGCAUGCAACUCAUUUCAGGGGUACUGAAAAGUUGAUUUUAAUUUCAAACAGCUGAAAAUGGAGCCCAGCAGUACCUGAGAACUACAAGCGGAAGAACACAAGAACAGGGUGAGCUCAAACAACAGGAUGCAGUGCUGCUGCCGGAGAUCGGGGGCCAAAGGGCUCCAGCAGCAGCGCAGCUGCAGGCACCUCAGUGGAGGCGGUGGUACCUCCGUGGGAUUAGCACAGCUCCCCGCGCUGCGUUUUACAGGGUUGAGUUGUUACUUUAUCAAGGGGCUGAUGCAGAACAAACGCUGUCCCAACCAGGAAAGGAAAUCCAGGUUUUCUGAUAAAUGCUUGGCUUACUUUUACAGGUGAUGGGAAUUAAAUAUAAGCUAAACCAAAAAUAUGGAAAGCAAAACACACUUGGAGAUAACCAUGAUAUUGUGUGUCUGCUUAAGCAAUGUAGUGAUAGGUCCGUCUUAAAACCAGAAAAGCCCUUUCUUGGAGUGCUUUUGAUACAGGGAAUGGCUUUGCUGUGCUUGACUGUAGAUAGGAGGAACUGCUGAAGAAUGAGAAGAUGAGAGGGAACACAGAGCAGAUAAAGGGCUGCUCAGAGAGGGAAGGGCUCAUACUGAUUCUGGAAACCUCAGGGAACAUAGCAGGGGGUACCUCAUGCACUGGAAAGGAGCAAAUAUCACAUCUGGUUUUUAAAAUGGGGGGAAAUGGAGCUGCGGAUUAUAGAUGUUAUUUAUAGAUGUAAUAUAUAGAGAUGUAAUUAAUCACUUCCUGAAUAAUAAAUCUGGAAAAAAUCAUGAAGCUUUCUUUGUAAAUAGCUGGAAAAUAAAAGGAGUAUGAAUAAUAGCUAAUGUAGUCGUGCCAAACAGUCUGACCUCCUAUUAUUUAACCUGAGCGUGGAUGAGAAAUGGUAGGUAUCAUACUGUUUGACUUUUACAUAACUUCAAUAUUGUUUCAUAUCAUCUCAUCAUAAUUGAGCAAAGGAAACAGGUUCUUGAUGAAAAUGUAAGGUAAGGACUACAUCAAGAAAUGUAGUCACAAAGCAAACGUGAAUCAGCGUAUUGUGCUGUUGCAAGAAGAGCUACCAUCGUACCAGGAAGUGUAAGCAGAAGUGCCACCUGCCUGAAUGAAACCUUUUGCUCUCAGCCACUGCUGUUAAGCACUGCGCUUGAAGGCAGAAAGAAAGGAAGGUAGAAAAGAAGGAUUGAAGCAGCACCAGCUCUAAGGGCUGAUGCAAAGGAGUAGGGCUGUGCAGCCCAACAAAAGCAUGGGAGAGGAACGUGGCUGACGUUAUUCCAGGAAUGUGAAAUGUUGCUGCAGGGAGGAAGAGAAUGAUCUGUUUGUUGUGUCCCUGGUGGAUGGAAAAGAAGCCAUUAGGCCUACACUGCAGCAAGAAAGGCUCCGCUUAAGGUUUUAAGAAAACCGUUCCUGUGUUAAGGACAGCACUGGGACAGCUUGCCUGGGGAACAGGAGCUUCCACCAGGAGUGGCUGAAAGAGCCGCUCUGCCCUCAGGAAUGGCAGGCAGCCCCGCCUGGGGCACAAGCAGGCCUGCCACAAGGCUCUUCUCCACUCUGCUAGCCCUGGUUUUCUACAACUGAUGCUGUGGUCCAUAGACUUUCAUGAAGCCAUAUUAAAACCUGGAUAAACUGAUGCCAAAUGCCUCUGUGCAAUUAUCAGUCCCUGUGUGUUAGCUUAGCUCAGAGGCAUGAAGGUGCCACGUGGAGCACUGUGAGCUCAGCAGGUCUGUUUGUUGGACUAAUUAACGAUUAAUGCCAGGUACUUCUCAUUGCUGAAGGCAGAUUAGUUUUCAUGGGUUGUUUCAGUCAGCAGGAACGUGAUGUGCAGUCACAAGUAAAAGCUGUAUAGUUUGAUGCCCACCUUAAAAUCUCCUUGGGUGUUUAUUGUGUCAGAUAGAGGAACUGCUUCUAAAUAUUUCUGAUUUUAGUGCCUUACAGUGGAUGUAACAAAAAUACCCAGCCCAUCUUGGCAGCCCUUUUGCUUAGAGCAGAUCUGGCGUUGCUUGAGAUAAUAUCUAUCAACAUCUGUCAUUCUUUUGAGAAAGUAUAUGGCAUUAGAUGGAAAGCAUAAGAGUGGGAUAUCUGUGGGUUUGGUGAUUGAGCAACUCGUGUGGAACACAGGAGAUCCAGGUGACAUUUUUGUUCUUCCUGUCUUGCCAUGCAGCCUCCAUCUGUGCUUCCCCACUUCCCAGUGGGUACCACAGCCACCAGACACGGAGUCAGCAGCGGUAGUCUAUUGAAUAUGAUGCAUUCAUUCACCUUCUGGUUAGAAGUGUGUCUCUAAGGAAACAGAUAACGCAUCUCAGAAUAGUUAAUUUGCUGAUGAUUAAAGCAUCUGGUGAGAAUAUGGGAGGCUUAGAUUCAAAUGAUGUCUCAAAAAAAAAAAAAUCAGAAAUAUUUCCUUCCUGCUUAUUUUCUUCUCAGUGUUUGAAGCAUUGCCUCUAACUGUAUCUGUGCAUGGAAGAUUGUUCUGCAUUCAGUACCAGAAAGUUUAAUUCACAUCUAGAGUGAGAAAAGGGGACGCAGUUCUGGAGUAAUGGGGAGACUGGGAAAUGCAGGAGAGAAGAAAAGCAGCACAGAAAAAGAAUAAGAUGACAAAGUUUGGAAAGUACCCGAGAUGUAAGGAGAUAGUGUAGGAAAAGAAGAAAAAGAAAAUGUAAGAGGCACAGAGACAGGAUUUGUCCUGCCUGAUUCAGAUAGUCUAAACUGUAUUUCAAACGUAGAUGCCUUCUGAAGCACUUUUCCUACACGAUUUGAAGAUUCCUGUGCAAUCCACGAGGAGAGGCAGGUGCCCUGAGGACAAAGACCUCCAAGAGUUGUCAGGAUCUCCUCCGAAGGCAAAGAUGCCAAACUCUUUUUGUUAAUACAGAGCUCUUACCAUUGAUUUGGAUAAUUUGCCCAGUGGGCUCUAACUUCAGGUCGGAGUGCCUGUGACCACCUCGUUAGGCUUCAGCUUGGCAUCAAAGGUUGGGUUCACAGGAAAGAUGGAUUUAGACCUAUACUGACCACAUCAAGUCAAGGUCGUGUGCGAAUGAGCAUUGCUGUAAAAGACUUUGCACACUGUAACCAAGUGAUGCUGUUGGAUGUCAACACGGGGCCAGAUCUGUAAUCAGGACAGGAGUUAAUGAUCUGACCGAUGCCAGAAUUUAGUGUAGGGUUUAUGACUUUUAUUUAAAUCAAGGUGAUAAAGCCAAAUGAUUUAAAACUGUUUCUCAGUGAUCAUAAUGGUAAUUACCAGCAGAAGGAUGAGUAUCAAUGCUAGAAUAGCCGACAGCACAGGGAGAUGGCUUGGCUGGCAGCCAGCUUGAACCACGUAAUGUUCCAUAACCACAGUAUCUAGUUACAUCUGAAAAGGUGACAACUGAUUAUUUGCCAUUGUUUGUUAAAAAUCCCUGACUUGGGAACACGCAUAGAGAACAUAUCACAACACUGUUUUCAUUCUUCUUUACUUCCUGCAAGAAGAUUUCAAAAGCCUGUAACAGCAGCCUCCCUUCAGCUGUGGGUUUGCUCUUAACACAGACCAUCAUCACAAAGGAGAAAGUUUCAGGAAUGUAGAACAGAAAACUCAACACAGAAAUCGUCUGCACUUUGUUACUGCAUUUGUGUCUCUCAGUCUCAUUCUAAGUCUUAUCUGGAAGCAUCUCUUAUUUUCUCCAGUCUGCCAUCUCUUUUUAUGCUCUUUUUAUUCAUCGUUUAAGUCUGUAAUUGUACUGUGAAGAUCUUUGAGGCAUGAUUUGCAUAAGGUAUCGCACAAAACUGUAUUUUAUUAGCAGAGCAUACAAUCUCUUUAAAAGACCAGAAAUAAGAGAACAGUGCAAGCACUAUUUAACAGCGAGGCACAGCUCCAUCGAUGCAAUUACAGAUAGCAAUGGUACACCAUAAUUUUGUGUAGAUGCUAACAGAGUAUGUGUGGAAAAAAUUACCAUCUGGAGAUAAGGUCAAAAGUAAAUGGGCCAUUUCAGAAAGCAAGGAAAGAAUGCCUAGAACAAUGACGAAAACCAGAGUUUGUUAAUUGUUUAAUGUCAUGUUGUAACUAGAACUAAAACUUAUACUGUUUUUGUGUAGAAGGAAAUGUAUGUGGCAUCACUGUGGGCAGCAGAGUUUCCAGAGUAGGCUCAGGGUCAAGAUUGAAUUGGGCUGUUAUUUUAGAAAUGUGAAGAGCUGAGUAUAUUUCCCAGCCCUCCACCUACCCAUCAGUACAGCUUUAACAAUUUUUAUCUCUGUUCCCAUACUUUCCCCAUGACUGCCAUUCUCCAGCUUAGUCAUCUUGACAUUUACGACCCUGGGAGGGCUGGCUGGGAUGGAGCGUUGGGUAUGUGCAUGGCAAAUGGAGUCAGUUACAUGCAAGCUAGAAACUCACAUAUUUCAAGUUAAAAUAUACAUCAGCGCUUUCCUGGACAGAUGUAUUAGUGAACUGUCUAUUUUAAUAAGCCUUGUACAUGCAGACUUAUAUUGUAUAUGAUAAUUGUUUUUAAAUACAGAAUUAGAGAAACAAAAGGAGGGGGAAAGAUUUCUUUCCCACUAACCUGUAUCUGAAGUACGACCAACUCUGCGUCCAGGACUCUCUUCAUUGGGAGUGCUUUGAGCCAGAAUUUGAUCUGUCUCUCUUUCUCAGCCACCUUCAUCUUCAGAAAACUGAUCUUUUCAUCCAUAGCUUGCAUCUCAAUAUCUCCUUUUCUACACAAAAACUCUUGUGCAUUUAUUUUUUCAUAUAAAAUACAUAUUUCUUCUUCUCGACUUCUAAGCAGAAGGCCGCUGCAAUGAGUCCCAAGUGAAAAGGUAGAUUUUUAAAAAUUUUGGUUGGUAUUCAGUGUAUUCCAUUCAAGAACAUAAAAGGCAGAUUUUAAAAAUGACAGCAAUAAUCUGGGAAAUAUAGCAAGAUUUCACAGAUGCUAUUUUAAUAUUGUUAUAGCAAUUUUAAAAGAGGACAAAAGAAUUACAAGCUGAAAAUUGGACAACACAGUUACCAAGAUUGCUUUGGUGCUUCAUACCAUUGCUACAAGCUUUUUUUUGCCUCCUACAGCAUUGAUUUGGAAAAUGGAGAAAUGCAAUCAGAGAGCUUUUCUCUGCACUUCCACAUGAGAGUAUUGCACAAAGCGCAAACAGAGAGUAGAGGCUACAAGCUCUCAAGGCAUUCAGCAGACAAGGUACAGUGCUGUUCUGUAAGAGUUCUGAAGAAUGAAUGGCUCCAGCAGUGGAGAACCAACACACACGUCCAUGACACACAGCAGUACUGGCAUUGCAGUGGGGCAGGCUGCUUGCGGGGCACCGGAGUGAAGGUGCCCUUAGUGUUCUUGGUUAGACUUGCUCCGAAAUUGAAAAGUAUCAAUUCAUGAAUUUCAAAAUGACCCACUUUAUUGCAUCACACUUACACGCGUACCUCUCAGUUUGUUCCUCAGUGGCUCUCUUGUACUUCUUGUGCAGUUGUGCAAUUUCCUCUUCAAUGCGGGUGACUGCAUUGGUAAGUCCGUCAAGAUCCAAAACCUGUUGCUUUUUCUUUUCAUUCAUUUCAUACAUGACUUGUGCGACUUUGGAACAAUCAUUUUUGAGACUCUCUUUAAUUGCUGCGUUAUUUUUAUUUUUCAUGUGUUGUUUCUGCAGUUCUCUUUAACGUAAACAGAAAAGUAGGAAGGUUUUGAGUCCUUUCAAUUUGAAAGCAAUUUCAGCACAAAAAAGCAGAGCUUAAAAUAAUUGCUUAGUUGCACAAAGAAUCUUCUAUGUCACUCUGCUUUGAGGAAGUAUGGCAAGAGGUAGAACCCUUUCCUGAGAACCACCUCUGUACAAGCUCUUUCCAACUCGAGCAGAUCUGGACUAUUGCCCAUUGAAAUGCUAUAACUGGAGCCUGCACCACAGCUCUUCUGCCCUGGGAAAAAAACUUAAAGAGUAGAAGCGUGGACUGCAAAUUCUUAAUGUGAUGCAAAUUCUUAAUGUGCAGUAAGCCUGUCCUUCUCUUCAUUUACAGUUCAAUGUUUAAAUGACACAGUUGUGACUCUGAGGUCUCCAAGCACUGUAUCCCAGCAUUCACACAAGAUAGAAUAUUAUCAAUAUUAUCAAUCUUUCUAUCUGAAAGAUGUGGAAAAAACAUCAUAACAAAAGGUUGGGGGCGAGAUCUAUCACAACUAUGCAUGAAAAUGAAGAAGAAAAGGUGUUAUGUCAAGAGACGGAUGGCCACUGGACAAUGGUGCCUUGCUGAGAAGACAGCUUCUUGUUGCCACACAGAGCAUUCCUUUGGUAACAGCAGGAAUUCAGACUUACUGCAUUUAAACUGCACUAAGUGUCACUUCUGGACUAAGAGACUACUUUGUCUACACUGGGAAGAUAUUUGUUAACAUACAAAAGAGGUAGUGAAAGAAGAAGCACUGUCUCCUAUUAAAAUGCGGAACUGCAGAUGAAAGGCCCUGCCUCCCAUUCUCAGUUCCGUAUGAGGCUGCUGAAUUACUCUGUGCAAAGCUGUGAGAUUCUUUCUGGUUCAUUUCUGCUUUUGUAAAUCAAGUGUCAGAAUGACAGAAAGGUAGUAUUGGAGAAAUGCAGCCUAUUAUUAAAUGGAAUAUGAAAAAAACCUAUCUUUUCAAACUGAUACUCUGUCUUCCAAAGUGAGUAGUUUGCAGUUAAGUCAGGGAUACCAUGAUGGAUUUUUACCCUUUUUUCUCCUCUUCCUCUCACAAGUAAUUUAUUGGGAAGGCCUCAAAAAUUUUAGCACAAAACAUCAGCUAGUGCACGUCCUCAGAAUCACUUCAGUCCAUGAAGUGCCACUUCUUUUCCAGCUUGCUCCAGCGUGGCUUUGAAGUCAAGGUACAUGGAGAUUCGCUACGUGUAUAGAUUGAAUUUAUCCUGAAUGCAGUCUUAGGUCUGGCUGUGCAAUUUUUGUUUUUGGCACCAGAAAACAAAGUUUUGGGCAAAAUAAAUUAUUCAUAAACUUAGUUUUGACUGUGCUGUUUUGCUUACAGAAUUAACCCUUUCCUAGCUUUCUGCUUUCCCAACUACCAAUUUCAGAGACACUGUCAUUGUCUGUCUGGUGCCAAGCAGAAAAUCACCACUAGGAUGACAAAAAGAUGGCAAAAAGGCAUCUCCUCUAAGUAAUGAUCAAGGAAAAAACAGAAUCACAAACACCAGCUACACCCCCUCAUCCUCUUUGCUGUCAGUGCAAGGUUUCAUUUUGAUGAGGAUUGCCUAGAAGUUGAAACCAUGUUUUGUUUGAUCUGAAAUAAAUACUAUCCAAUAGACUACAACUUGAGUUUGAAACAAGAAGCUCAGUUCUAAUUUAAUAAUUAAUUGGCCAUAUCACUAGCUAGUGACUCAUUUACUGGUACCACCCAGUCUGUUGUGGAGUUGUGUAUGGUUUCGACCUCUUUUUGCCUAAGGAUGGGUACAACAGAGUUGUUCAUAUUCAGAUGCUAGAGGCUUGAGAGCAGUUAUACGAAGAAAAUAUAAAGACAGUUUUUCACUUGAAAGGAUAGGAAAAUGAGAAAGAGUGCGGACAAUCUUCAAAAAUGUUUCCUUCCCAUGCAGUGAUGCCCAAACUAAUUGUAAAGUGUUAGGAUUGGAGCAGAUUCUGUGCGGGUGUUGCGAUAUUUCUUUGGAUCAGGUUUUAAAAAUCAGGGUAAUAAAUGUGAAUAGGAUUCUUUCUAAGAAAA